UUAAUACUCCCUCUGUCCAAAAACGCUUGUCCCUCAAAUGAAUGUAUCUAGCACCAAGUUAGUGCUCGAUACGUCCAUUUGAAAGACAAGCUUGUGACAAGCUUUUUCGGACGGAGGGAGUAUGAC
rfam:Triticum aestivum genome assembly, contig: Triticum_aestivum_CS42_TGACv1_scaffold_221268_3B